CUUUAUAAAAGACUAAUUUCAUUUUUAAAUUCUGUUAAAAAAUUAUGAAAUUUUUCUUUUAUUUUGUUGGGGCGACAUUAAUAUAAGCUGUAACUGUUUAAAUAAAAAUUAUAAUUAUCAUUAUUGUUUGAUCCCUCUUUGAGGAUAAGAAGACUAAGUU
rnacentral:rRNA from 1 species